UGGGAUAUCUAUAUUAUAUAUAAAGCAGCAGUUCUAACGGCUAAAAAUUCCCGGCAAUUUUUGUUGACAGUUUUUCAUCCCAAAAAUUUCGCUAAUUUUAAAAAAACGUGUGUAUCAUAGAUAUCUACAGUUUAAUUCCUCCAAAAAUCUCAUAGAUGCAGCAUAUACUUCUAACGAAGAAACAAAGGCCCUUCUUAGUCACUAAUCCAGCGCUGACUCUUUCAAAGGCCCUCUUUUGUUUGCC
rnacentral:lncRNA from 1 species